UACGAAGGGGGCUAGCGUUGUUCGGAAUUACUGGGCGUAAAAGGGCGCGCAGGCGGUCCCUUCAAGUCAGGCGUGAAAGCCCCGGCUCAACCUGGGAAUAGCGCUUGAGACUGAGGGACUUGAGUUCGGGAGAGGAGAGCGAAUUCCCAGUGUAGAGGUGAAAUUCGUAGAUAUCGGGAGGAACACCAGCGGCGCAGGCGGCGCUCUGGACGCACACUGACGCUGAGACACGAAAGCGUGGGAGCAAACAGG
rnacentral:rRNA from 1 species